AUAACAUGGAUUAUGUGUAUGGGCGUAGUGCUAUAAGCAAUGAACAUUGAUCCUAGAGAAAUCUAUGCAAUAUUGAUUUGCGAGAGAUGUGUGCAGUUAGUUGAUUUCAUUUUAACCUAUCAAAAGUUUCAACAAUCAUCGAUCUCAUCCUU